rnacentral:rRNA from 1 species
CCUACGGGCGGCACCAGUGGGGAAUAUUGCACAAUGGGCGCAAGCCUGAUGCAGCCAUGCCGCGUGUAUGAAGAAGGCCUUCGGGUUGUAAAGUACUUUCAGCGAGGAGGAAGGCGAUAAGGUUAAUAACCUUGUCGAUUGACGUUACUCGCAGAAGAAGCACCGGCUAACUCCGUGCCAGCAGCCGCGGUAAUACGGAGGGUGCAAGCGUUAAUCGGAAUUACUGGGCGUAAAGCGCACGCAGGCGGUCUGUCAAGUCGGAUGUGAAAUCCCCGGGCUCAACCUGGGAACUGCAUUCGAAACUGGCAGGCUAGAGUCUUGUAGAGGGGGGUAGAAUUCCAGGUGUAGCGGUGAAAUGCGUAGAGAUCUGAGGAAUACCGGUGGCGAAGGCGGCCCCCUGGACAAAGACUGACGCUCAGCUGCGAAAGCGUGGGGAGCAAACAGGAUUAGAUACCCUCGUAUUC